UCAGGUCGUAAAUGUUCUUUGCAUUGAGAGCCUAGUCUCAGCUUUCCUAGGAUCCCUGGUACAGCCCUGCCUUUCCACCCCUCAGGCUGUUUCCUCCGUGUUUUCCUCAGAAGAAGAGUUCCAUACAAAAGACCUACUACCCUGAGAAACAGUGAAGUACUCCUGGGGCCCACCAAUGCCACACAAGUCAAGGAGUGGAUGGCCUUGCCCCAGUUAUGGCUCAGAUCACCUUUGCAGGAUGACAUCGUGUUGGGAGAUGGUCAUCAGAGCCAGGGCCAUGGAAGACGCUGUCAGGAGGAGGCACAGAGGAAAGGCUAUGGGAACACAAAGCAAGAAAGUGGCCUUCUGCAAGCCAGGAAGAGAGGCCUCCUCAGAAACCAGCUCUGCUAGCACGUCGAUCUUGGACUUUUGGCCUCCAGAACAUUGAGAAAAUAAAAGUCUGUUGUUAAACCACC